rnacentral:rRNA from 1 species
GAUCCUGGCUCAGGAUGAACGCUGGCGGCGUGCUUAACACAUGCAAGUCGAACGGAGGACCCUUGACGGAGUUUUCGGACAACGGAUAGGAAUCCUUAGUGGCGGACGGGUGAGUAACGCGUGAGGAACCUGCCUUGGAGAGGGGGAAUAACACAGAGAAAUUUGUGCUAAUACCGCAUGAUGCAGUUGGGUCGCAUGGCUCUGACUGCCAAAGNUUUAUCGCUCUGAGAUGG